rnacentral:lncRNA from 1 species
GGGACUGGAAAAGCACUAUAUAAAUUCAAUGAUUAUUUUUAUUAUAUUAUUAUUAGUCACACAGUAACCUGAUGCAGAUACUGGUGUAGAGAAUAUGUGUGGGCAUGCAUUUGUACGUGAGUGCGUGUGUGUGUGUGUGUGUGUGUGUGGGUGUGGGUGUGCAAGCGCAUGCUUCUGUGUGUAUGUGUGUGUAUGUGUGUGUGUAUGUUUCUGUGUUGGGUGAUUAAGAGCUGAAAGGCUCUGCUGAGAGCGUUGAGAGCUCAUCCUCACAGCCAAUAGGCCUAUCUCACGAAAAUCGGAAAUGACGUCACACCGGGUAAACAUUCUUCCGGUGUAGUCAUUUUUGUAUUGCCGUCAAUGCAAAAAUGGAUCGUUUCUUCGCCACUUCCCUGGUGGGUAAUCCCAAAUUGCGAUUCGAAGAUGUGCAGAAGAUUGUGGUGACACACUCAGCAACACCACAGCCCAGGCUGACAAAGGGGUACAAGUUUUUUGUGGAGGAGUUUGUACACAAUUAUCAAGAUCACCCUGGAGGCUGUUGGACAACUGGGUCUCUCAGAGCUGUAGCUGUGCUGCGGGCAAAGGCUUCUGUAGCCAUAUAACCGCUCUGCUGUUCCAGACAGCGCAUUAUGUGCAGCUGGGCCUUGAUGUGGUUCCACCUUCCCUGGCCUGUACCAGUCAACCACAGAUGUGGCAUCGACCUCGAACCCACGUGUGCUGUUGUGUCCUCUGUUCAAAUCAUACACUUCAGUAUUUGUCUAGAGUAUAUGAGCAUUUCCUGUAUUGUUGUUCGCCUCAGGGAAUCCAUCCAGAGGCUGUGAGUGACCUGGUGGUGAAGAAACCCAAGUCGGUGGGGAAGACUGGAGUCAAGUCCACACUCUACAGAGCGUAUGCUGGUAAGACAUUUGUUUUGCAAUUUGCACUCUGUUGAACUUGCUCAUUAUGAAAAGAUGCAUAUUAGAAUACAUCUGUUAUCACUACAAUAUAAAAAAAAACAGUCACAUUUUUAUUUGACGUUUCGCCCUUUAAUGUCCCACAUCCUAGAGGGAAUAUCCAGCUUGGAGUUGGUACCAUCUCAGCUGUGCUGACCUGGAAGAUGUCAGCAAUGACCUGUUCUUUAAGGCCAGUUGCUACUCUACAACAGUAGAUGAAAAACUCAUCAAUGACUGGAAUCUUCCUUGAAGGGCGUGGUGUUGGAAUCGCCUCUUGUCCAAUCCUCUGUGCUUUGCUCCAAUAAAGAAUAUAUUGUGUUGAGGGGCAAAACAGACUCCCAAAACACUUGAAACACUUCUUGAGAUGGAAACCGAGUAUAAUAUGUCAUGGUCUGAUCAGACACACAAAACCUGUUGAGGACAGUUUGUGGCCCCAUGGACAUUUCUUGCAGCCUUGCCUCCAGCUCAGCAAUAUACUCCAGGGCAUCAUCCAGUGCACCUACAAAAAAAGAAGACAAAUAAGUCUUCAUUACCAUUCAUUCGUAUUCACCAUUUCUUUUUAUUGUAUUGUUAUUCUGUAUACUUAAGUUUAUUUAUAUUUCUUAUCAUUAAAUUUAUUUGUACUGUUUUCUGUUUUUAUUUUUUAUGCAUUAACUAUAGGUUGAGUGUACAUAGAGUAAAAACCAAAGUCAAAUUCCUCGUUUGUUUGCAAACCUGGCCAAUAAAGCUGAAUCUGAAUUAAUAUGCAACCCCAGUUUAACAGUACGUCUGAUGUUGAUUGAAUGUUUUAACGUUAACCAUGCCAUGUUUGGCAAAAUUAUUCAAUCGCCCAACAAGUGUUGAACACAAAUGGAUCGUUUCUUCGCCACUUCCCUGGUGGGUAAUCCCAAAUUGCGAUUCGAAGAUGUGCAGAAGAUUGUGGUGACACACUCAGCAACACCACAGCCCAGGCUGACAAAGGGGUACAAGUUUUUUGUGGAGGAGUUUGUACACAAUUAUCAAGGUAAGUUGUCUAAGGUGUUUUGUUGUCAGUAGGCUACUCAAUGGCCGCCUUGCUCAUUCAUGUUUUGUGAUGACAAGCAAACCAUAUACGAUCCAUAUAAAUCGUCAGAAAUAUUGUCUGUGUGUGAAAUGUGUGUAAAAUUAUCAUAUUUGUUACGUGUAGACUAUAAUAUUAUGAAUAUAAUUAGCCAUGGUGGCUAUGAAGUCUCCGUGUGUAGCGUUAGCAUUUUAGCAUUAGUUUAGCCAAGGAUAGGUUCAGCUAUCAGACAUACUAUAAUAUAAUAUAAUAUUAUGAAUAUAAUUAGCCAUGGUGGCUAUGAAGUCUCCGUGUGUAGCGUUAGCAUUUUAGCAUUAGUUUAGCCAAGGAUAGGUUCAGCUAUUACAGACAUAACAGCUAGUUAGCACACAUCUACUUACCGGCAGGGGGGCGUGUCGCGUAGUCAUGUUCCCCGGUACCUCUCCGGUCCGUUCGUGUUUUGUCCUCUCCUUCAGCUUUUCGAGCUGACACCCGUUUAUACACGGGUGUUUUUUUCGGGGCUGUGGUGUAGCUGUUCCAGUCAAAACGACUAGGAACAGCUCCCGUAUUCAGCGCAGCACUCCCGUCGUCAUAAUCAGCCGCUGAGAAAUGCCGACAGACGAGUGUACUCCCCUUCUGAAUUACGAAAUUAACUCCUUCAUUCCGUCUGAUCGCCACUGCUGUAUUGGGUAUUAUUUGGGAAGUCGUGGAAAUGUAAAUACGGUUGUUUUUGUUUUGAAUUGGCGCAUAGAGGUACUGACGUGUGUCCCGAAAGGACUCACUAUAUUGAUGCACCUAGCCGUUCCAGAAUCACUCCAGAAUCAUGCUGUGACCCCAUGCUGUCAACAAG